GUGAGGAAUUUUCCGCAAUGGGCGAAAGCCUGACGGAGCAAUGCCGCGUGAAGGAUGAAGGCCUAUGGGUUGUAAACUUCUUUUCUCAGAAAAGAAUUAUGACGGUAUCUGAGGAAUAAGCAUCGGCUAACUCUGUGCCAGCAGCCGCGGUAAGACAGAGGAUGCAAGCGUUAUCCGGAAUGAUUGGGCGUAAAGCGUCUGUAGGUUGUUUAAAAAGUAUUCUGUCAAAGAUUAGGGCUUAACCCUAGAUAGGCAGAAUAAACUUUUAAGCUAGAGUUUGGUAGAGGCAGAGAGAAUUCCCGGUGGAGCGGUGAAAUGCGUAGAUAUCGGGAGGAACACCAAAGGCGAAGGCACUCUGCUGGGCCAAUACUAACACUGAGAGACGAAAGCGAGGGGAGCAAAUGGGAUUAGAUACCCGAGUAGUCC
rnacentral:rRNA from 1 species